GGAGUGGGGGGCGGGGCGAGGAGUCUCUUGCUCAGAGCCCCCUAGGGACUGGGACCCGUUGACUCUGAGCUGCUUUUGAGGCUGGAUCAGGUACCAGCGGCCUGGGGGUCGUACAGGAUGGGAGAGGCCGGGGCUUGGGAUGUUGCCAGAUCUACGUUGAAAAGUGAAGCAGGAAGAGAGGCACUGAGGCUGGGCACAUGGGGAAAACCGUGGAGAGCCGGCCUUUGGGGACUAGAAGAGUGGGAACAAUGGUUGACAAAUGGGUUAUCACCGGAGUGGGACUGGUGACUUCAUUAGAAGAGGAAGGAAGACCUGAGCUGGCCUGUGAAUAUGCUCCGCCCCCUGGCCAUGUGACACCUGCGCCACCCUCAGGACUCUGCAGAGUCCCCAGCAGCAAGAAGGCCCUCACCAGGUGCAGCCCCUCAACCUUGGACUUCUCAGCCCCCAGGGCUGUAACAAAUAAAUUCUUUUUUAAAGUAAAUUA
ensembl:lncRNA novel transcript